rnacentral:lncRNA from 1 species
ACAAAACCGCACUUUUGCCGUGAGCUAAGWCGAGGGGGAGGAGGAGGCAGCGCAGCCGAAGGGAAAGGCAGCAUUACGUAACYCAUAAUUUCCUCUUCCUCAAACUCGAGGGCCUUUAAAGAACAACGCGCAGAGYGGAGCAGGGAGCAGGUACAGGUUUAACGGCUACGGCUGUCACCGAGAAACCACUGCAACCCUGCAAGGACACCAGCGGCUGUAGCCUGCUUCUGUCAGGACACCAACACUGUUACUCCAACAGUAUGAAAAUAUUUGAAACCAUCAGCAACAUUCGCUUGACCUCUACCUGGUCUUUCUGCUGGCUCCCAGCACAAUAGUGCUGUAUUCCAGUCAUUAUAUGCAUGGGAAUUAAACUAAGUAGUGGGUGGAAAAGUGAAUUAGAUUUAGGGAGUGAAACAAUGCAUGGCGGUUGAGCUGUAGAUAUUGCRCGUAACCUUUCCCAUGCUGUUCUACUCAGUCGCUUCUAAUGCCUUUCAGAGGGCAGCAUUAAGUGACAGCACUAGCAUCUGCUUUCCUUUUUAUAAACUGAAUAAUAUGAUCGUUUUAUAAUCU